UACGGGGGGUGCAAGCGUUAUUCGGAAUUAUUGGGCGUAAAGGGCGCGUAGGCGGUUGAAUAAGUCAGAUGUGAAAGCCCUUGGCUUAACCAAGCAAGUGCAUGUGAUACUAUUUGACUUGAGUAUGGGAGAGGGAAGUGGAAUUCCUGGUGUAGAGGUGAAAUUCGUAGAUAUCAGGAGGAACACCGGUGGCGGAAGCGACUUCCUGGACCAAUACUGACGCUGAGGCGCGAAGGCGUGGGGAGCAUACAGG
rnacentral:rRNA from 1 species